rnacentral:rRNA from 1 species
AUUGAACGCUGGCGGCAGGCCUAACACAUGCAAGUCGAACGAGUGGCGGACGGGUGAGUAAUGUCUGGGCAACUGCCCGAUGGAGGGGGAUAACUACUGGAAACGGUAGCUAAUACCGCCUACCAUCGGAUGUGCCCAGAUGGGAUUAGCUAGUGGGUGGGGUAAUGGCUCACCUAGGCGACGAUCCCUAGCUGGUCUGAGAGGAUGACCGGCAAAACUGGAACGGAGACACGGUCCAGACUCCGACGGGAGGAAGCAGUGGGGAAUAUUGGACAACGGGCGAAAGCCUGAUGCAGCCAUGCCGCGUGUAUGAAGAAGGCCUUCGGGUUGUAAAGUACUUUCAGCGGGGAGGCGUUACCCGAAGAAGAAGCAACGGCUAACUCCGUGCCAGCAGCCGCGGUAAUAC